rnacentral:rRNA from 1 species
CCUACGUGCGGCAGCAGUCGAGAAUCAUUCACAAUGGGGGAAACCCUGAUGCAGCAACGCCGCGUGAGUGAUGACGGCCUUCGGGUUGUAAAGCUCCGUCUUCAGGGACGAUAAUGACGGUACCUGAGGAGCAAGCAACGGAUAACUACGUGCCAGCAGCCGCGGUAAUACGCAGGGGGCGAGCGUGGUCCGGAUUUACUGGGGGUAAAGGUAGCGUAGGCGGACUUUUAAGUGAGAUGUGAAAUGCUCGGGAUUAACUUGAGUGCGGAAUGUCAAACGGUAAGUCUAGAGUGCAGGAGAGGAGAAUGGAAUUCCUGGUGUAGCGGUGAAAUGCGUAGAGAUUAGGAAGAACACCAGUGGCGAAGGCGAUUCUCUGGACUGUAACUGACGCUGAGGCUCGAAAGCGUGGGGAGCAAACAGGAUUAGAUACCCUUGUAGUC